rnacentral:rRNA from 1 species
AACGUACGCUGGCGGCACGCCUAACACAUGCAAGUCGAACGCAGUAGCAAUACUGAGUGGCAGACGGGUGAGUAACAUGUGGGAAUCUGCCUUGUGGUUCAGGACAACAUUGGGAAACCGAUGCUAAUACGGGAUAAGCCCUUACGGGGAAAGUUUUAAGGCCAUAAGAUGAGCCCGCAUUUGAUUAGUUAGUUGGUGAGGUAAUGGCUAACCAAGACAAUGAUCAAUAGCUGAUCUGAGAGGAUGAUCAGCUACACUGGGACUGAGACACGGCCCAGACUCCGACGGGAGGCAGCAGUGAGGAAUCUUGCACAAUGGAGGAAACUAUGAUGCAGCGAUGCCGCGUGAGUUAAGAAGGCCUUUGGGUUGUAAAGCUCUUUUGUAGGGGAAGAUAAUGACUGUACCCUAAGAAUAAGGUCCGGCUAACUUCGUGCCAGCAGCCGCGGUAA